rnacentral:lncRNA from 1 species
UGCUGAUCUGUUUACUCUGGCCUGUAAAACUCCCCAGAUUUCCAAAUCUAUUGGAAUCAGUCAACAUCUCAAUUCAUCACUUGUUCUUUGUAGACUAUUUUGCUACUCCGAAAGUACAGUUCACAACCUCACCUGCUGCUCAUAAUUCUACAAAAACUUCUUCAACGUUGUUAAGGGGACAAAGAUAACAUCACUUACCUCUCCUUUACCUGAGGAGAAAUCAACCAACAGAUGCC